UAAUACGGAGGGUGCAAGCGUUGUCCGGAUUUAUUGGGUUUAAAGGGUGCGUAGGUGGUUUUGUAAGUCUGACCUGAAAGUGGGCCGCUUAACGGCACAGGGUGGUUGGAUACUGCAGAACUUGAAGAGGGUGGAGGCCGCCGGAACGGAUCGUGUAGCGGUGAAAUGCAUAGAGAUGAUCCAGAACCCCGAUUGCGUAGGCAGGCGGCUACGCCCCACUUGACACUGAGGCACGAGAGCAUGGGGAGCAAACAGGAUUAGAUACCCUGGUAGUCCAUGCCGUAAACGAUGAUAACUCGCUGCUGGUCCUGCGGAUCAGUGGCUUAGCGAAAGCGGUAAGUUAUCCACCUGGGGAGUACGCCGGCAACGGUG
rnacentral:rRNA from 1 species